rnacentral:lncRNA from 1 species
ACAAUAAUAUGUUCUUCCUGACAAAUGGCAAUGGUUGUAUCAACAUCCUCAGCUACCCAGAACUGAAGCCUGUGCAGUCCAUCAACGCCCAUCCUUCCAACUGCUGGUCAGCCUCUGGGAUGUGGAUGAGUUAGUGUGUGUUCGGUGCUUUUCCAGGCUGGAUUGGCCUGUAAGAACCCUCAGUUUCAGCCAUGAUGGGAAAAUGCUGGCGUCAGCAUCGGAAGAUCAUUUUAUUGACAUUGCUGAAGUGGAGACAGGGGACAAACUAUGGGAGGUACAGUGUGAGUCUCCGACCUUCACAGUGGCAUGGC